rnacentral:rRNA from 1 species
GGUGGCGAGUGGCGAACGGGUGAGUAAUGUAUCGGAACGUACCUUUCAGUGGGGGAUAACGUAGCGAAAGUUACGCUAAUACCGCAUAUUCUGUGAGCAGGAAAGCAGGGGAUCGCAAGACCUUGCGCUGAUUGAGCGGCCGAUAUCAGAUUAGCUAGUUGGUGAGGUAAGGGCUCACCAAGGCGACGAUCUGUAGCGGGUCUGAGAGGAUGAUCCGCCACACUGUAACUGAGACACGGUCCAGACUCCUACGGGAGGCAGCAGUGGGGAAUUUUGGACAAUGGGGGCAACCCUGAUCCAGCCAUGCCGCGUGAGUGAAGAAGGCCUUCGGGUUGUAAAGCUCUUUCGGCCGGGAAGAAAUCGCAUGGGUUAAUACCCUGUGCGGAUGACGGUACCGGCAUAAGAAGCACCGGCUAACUACGUGCCAGCAGCCGCGGUAAUACGUAGGGUGCGAGCGUUAAUCGGAAUUACUGGGCGUAAAGCGUGCGCAGGCGGUUUUUUAAGACAGGCGUGAAAUCCCCGGGCUCAACCUGGGAACUGCGCUUGUGACUGGAAGGCUAGAGUAUGGCAGAGGGGGGUGGAAUUCCACGUGUAGCAGUGAAAUGCGUAGAGAUGUGGAGGAACACCAAUGGCGAAGGCAGCCCCCUGGGCCAAUACUGACGCUCAUGCACGAAAGCGUGGGUAGCAAACAGGAUUAGAUACCCUGGUAGUCCACGCCCUAAACGAUGUCAACUAGGUGUUGGGUGGGUAAAACCAUUUAGUACCGGAGCUAACGCGUGAAGUUGACCGCCUGGGGAGUACGGCCGCAAGGUUAAAACUCAAAGGAAUUGACGGGGACCCGCACAAGCGGUGGAUGAUGUGGAUUAAUUCGAUGCAACGCGAAAAACCUUACCUACCCUUGACAUGUCCAGGAGCCUGAAGAGAUUUGGGUGUGCCCGAAAGGGAACUGGAACACAGGUGCUGCAUGGCUGUCGUCAGCUCGUGUCGUGAGAUGUUGGGUUAAGUCCCGCAACGAGCGCAACCCUUGUCGUUAAUUGCCAUCAUUCAGUUGGGCACUUUAACGAGACUGCCGGUGACAAACCGGAGGAAGGUGGGGAUGACGUCAAGUCCUCAUGGCCCUUAUGGGUAGGGCCUCACACGUCAUACAAUGGUCGGUACAAAGGGUUGCCAAGCCGCGAGGUGGAGCCAAUCCCAGAAAGCCGAUCGUAGUCCGGAUCGCAGGCUGCAACUCGCCUGCGUGAAGUCGGAAUCGCUAGUAAUCGUGGAUCAGCAUGUCACGGUGAAUACGUUCCCGGGUCUUGUACACACCGCCCGUCACACCAUGGGAGCGGGUUCCGCCAGAAGUAGGUAGCCUAACCGCAAGGAGGGCGCUUACCACGGCGGGGUUCGUGACUGGGGUGAAGUCGUAACAAGGUA